ensembl:misc_RNA Y_RNA Y RNA
AACACCAAGUACAGUGGUGUUUACAACUAAUUUAUCACAACCAGCUACUAAUUCCUUUGUUCCUUCUCCACUCCCACUGCUUUGUUUGAGUAGCUUUAA